rnacentral:lncRNA from 1 species
UGUGUUGCUCCUUGUGGCAGGUAUACUGUUCCAAUGCCCUGGGAUCUCUGUAGUGGUCGGUACUGUAUUGAUUAUAAAUGGUGAAGUCCUAGUAUCUUGCUAGAGUGAGCUGGCCAGGAUGGUGGAGCUCUACCACCAUUUCACAGGUUAUAGACAGGGGCCCCCAGGUUUCAGGAAAGCAGCAAUGACCCCUCAGUAAUAGUUGGAAAGUGUGAUAUGACACUGAGCUUCACUGUGUUGGUGAAGAAGAGGUGAGGAAAAUAAAAGUUGCAGUUUGCCUCCACCUCUGAAGAAGCACAAUAUACCUUUCUGGGUUACCCAUGGGAUACUUCCCAACAGCUUUGUCAUCACAUACAAUAUUUGCAAACAAGAUCUUAAUGGCAUCCACUUUCUCCAGGAACACAGCCCCUGACAUGUGCGUGUUUGCGUAGAGAAGGCAUGCUAUGUACCCCCUAGGAUACGAAAGAGAGGAUCCAUUUGCUUCAAAGAGCCCAUCAGCAAGCUGUCCUUCCUGUUUUAUCACAAGAUUUCUGUAGCAGAUUGAGCUCUGGCAGUUGAUCUCAGUGGCUUGAUAGAGUGUCAUUAUAAAAACGCACCUGGAAGAUUCUGUGGAAAAGACAACCUCAGAAGACCAAGAGGCUGACUUUGCAAGAGAGAGUCCGUUUACCACUUAGAACCGUGAACACCACCCCCGCCCUCAUUUAUCUCCAGACUUGAACUAGUGGUUAAAUCCCAACAUGUCCCAGAGAAGUCAAAUGCACUGUAAAAUCUGGGAAUCUGCCCACCACUCAAGCCUGGGAAAGCUGGCAGAGGAUGCACGUGUUUUACUCACCUGAGUGUUCACAAUGCUUGUGAGGUGCCUCCCUGAUAUUUUUAUAGCAGAAUGGAGAAACACAACCAAGGAGAUACACCUAAGUAACAAUAGCAAUGAUGUCAAAAAGAGUGCCUGAAUACUUAGGAUGGAGGUCCUGGACAUGCAAACCCAAGCCUCCUCUUUGCUGUGGCCAGGAAUCUGCAGUGAUUGAGAGCACAGACUGUAUCUAAAAUUCCACCUUUCAAAGUUCAGCAUAUUACUUUUUUUUUUUCUUACACCUAUAGGUACAGAGGAAUGAAGAAGGAAUAAACAGACCUUCUGGAUAAUUGCAUCAGUCUUCCCCACUAUUCCAAUGCCAUGCUAACAUUUCAAGUAAUGUACCUUUUGUCUUGCUGAGAAAAAAUCAUUUCAUGAUUUAUUACACUGGAUUAAAGGCUAUGCACACUCUGGAGUUGGAACAUGACUGAAGGGCAAGCAAGCAUAAAGGAUAUCAGAAACAGUUGGUGUGUUUAAAUUUUUCUGAAUUUCUCAAGUAAACUUUUUAGAAAGUAGUCUGAAGAUAAAAUGGUUAUAUAAGUUACUUAAACUGUAGAUGAUGGCACCUUUAUCCCUAUAUAAUAGAAUUAAGAUAACUCUUCUGGGCACUUUAUUUGGAAUCAAUUAUUUAAUCCUCAUAACAACCCCAUGAAGAUCAUACUAUUACCAUCCAAAGUUUACUGAGGAAGAUACUGAGGCAAGAUUUACAAUCCAAAGCAGAGUGGGAGGAAGAGACCUACAAGACCAUGUUUCAUUGGAUAGCUUUGGAGUAAUAUCUAUAAUUUUAGAAAAAAGUUAAGAGGAAGAAGAAACUGGUGUCAGCUAGACUUAGAAGAUUUUACAACAGAGACUGGCUUCCAUUCACUGAUCAGACAUUCACUGAUUUUUAAUUCUUACCACCAGAGAAAAAGUUGUUAUGAUGAGGGUCCUCAGGAAAGACAAUACAGUCAGCCGAGAAAUACAAUUUUCUUUGUCUACUGUUGUUUCCUUUAUACAGACCACUGAAAUAUAUACUUAACCACCAGCAAAACUCAUAUUAAACACAAGUAAAAAAAAUCACUACAUGCAAAAGAGUGAACACCAGGCAAAGUGGUAAUUUAUGAAUUUCCAGGAUUUUUGUUGUAAUUUACCCGUGUAAGUUUACAAUAAAUGAUUGAUGUAACUAAA